ACACCUACGGGGGGCAGCAGUGAGGAAUAUUGGUCAAUGGCCGGAAGGCUGAACCAGCCAAGUCGCGUGAGGGAAUAAGGCCCUAUGGGUCGUAAACCUCUUUUGUCAGGGAGCAAAGGCGUCCACGAGUGGACGAAAGGAGAGUACCUGAAGAAAAAGCAUCGGCUGACUCCGUGCCAGCAGCCGCGGUAAUACGGAGGAUGCGAGCGUUAUCCGGAUUUAUUGGGUUUAAAGGGUGCGUAGGCGGAGUGUCAAGUCAGCGGUAAAAGCCCGGGGCUCAACCCCGGCGAGCCGUUGAAACUGGC
rnacentral:rRNA from 1 species